ensembl:lncRNA
AGUCCUUCCUUCAAGAGCUUAAAAGCUCACUGUUUGAGGAAAUACAUGAGGAUGAAACGGUACUUCAAGCCUCAACAGACUGGUCGACCCGAAAGAGCCUCAUAUCAGGGUGGUGGGAGAAAGAGAGACCCCGACUGGUCAACACCAUGGUGGCUGGACAACAUGCGGCAACUCGGAUCUGCCAACAUUGUGGAAAUGGUCCAGCCGUAAUCCGUUGUUGUGACUGCCGACCACACCCAUUCCUCUGUGGCCAGUGUGAUGUCAGGGUCCACCGAGGUCAAGUGUUCCACAACAGGGAUUCGAUGACACAUGCAUUCUUUCAUCCAUUGCCUCCCACAACUUGUGUUGUGGAGAGGGUUCUAACCCAGUGUGGUAAGUUGUAGUUUUUAAAAGUCACAUUCUUAGACUUGACUGAAAAACUGAUAGGUCGAUGAAGCAGUCAAGUACAUCUUGUUUAAAAUAGUUGCCAGUAAAUAAAUGUUAUUUUUUAAUGCUUAUCCAUGUGUUUUUUGUUUUUUAAGAGCGUCUUGUACCUUUGGAGAUGCCAGAGACAAUAUGCGGUUGUCUACGAGUAUCGUCCAGUGUCAUCGCAGGACAGUCCAUAGUUGUGGUUACAAUGAAUGGGCGAUAUGAUCUCAGAUUGCCUCAGAUUAGAUGCAAAGCAUGUGAAGCCACUUGGAGUCCUGGAGUGGAUGACCUGAUCCGUAAUGACUACUGGCCUGCCACUUCUCACUAUUCAACUGUGUAUGCAACAGAUGUCCUUUUUUUCUUUUUGAAGAGCUGAAGAUGGCAGCACCAGGGAUGUCUAGCCAAGCAUUUCUUAGAAUGCUGGAUCAACGCACUGUUCGAUUUGGCCGUAGUGGAAACAUCACAGCAGACAGCUUCCGGAAAAAGCUUCUUGGAGUGGGAAGCUGUCCGAUUCGAAAGUGGACAAAUUAUGCCAGGAGGACCACUUUGACUGCCCAGCGUGCAGCCCAGACAUGCUUGCAGUAUCCGUUGAUGGAAACCGUAAGCACUACAGAUUCAAGAGUGCAGCAAGAUCGGAGGAAAAAGCCAUCUUUGAUGGCGUGUUCAUCGCAAAUGAUGAUGAUGUCGCAAGAUUCGUGGACUAUGUCCAUACCUCAACCAGUCAUGUAAACUUGCACAACUUCUCUAUAUUUACCUAUAAAAACACCACGUCCUACAGAGGACUUAGUUUGAACAAGUUUGGAAUGUUAAACAUCUUCCAUGUUUUUAGGUCUCUGGAAGAGGUGUCUGUGGAGGGCAAUGGUCAGCGGCGCGUGAAACUUCUCAGAAGUCCUCAGGAAAAACAGACGAGGAGGGCCUGGAACUCGCUGUAUGUCGUCAUGGGGUUCUCCUUCGUGCCCUCAAUAUGUUCAGGGGGGAGAUUUUUGCCUACCCCCUGUACCUCCAAAAGCAAAUGGCCUGUAAGCCAGUUAAAUUUUUUGCAAUGGAUGUGGCAUGCAAGUACUGGCCUUACCUCCAGAGAGUGACAGAGAAAUGCCCUGAGCUUGAGGAUCUCCUCACCAUGAGGCCAUUUCUUUCUGUUUUUCAUGCCAAAGCUCAUGAUUUCAAAUGUGAGGUAAGAAAAAAUGAUUGUCCAUGAUAUUUUCUUUCCCUAAAAAUCCUGCAUAAGAUUGUUGCCACUUAGGUUUUGUUUUUUUGUUUUCUUUUUUUAAAGGUAAAAUGGAGUGGAGCAUAUCAGGAGGGGCUGGUUCGACUCUUGGGGAAGAGGUGGAGCAGUGCAACGCCUUCCUCUCGAGGAUUGCUGUUACGACAAAGCACAUGUCAAAAAGCAGGUAAGGUAACCAGUAAAUUUUGAUCCUGAUGACAUGGGUGAGCCACUUAUGCAUACAUGCUGACUCUGAAAAUAUAAAGAUCAGAAUAUAUUAAACACAAAUGGAUGGAUCGAUUACAAUAACAUCAUCCUAUUUUAUUUGACGUGAGGAUAAUAAGGAAGGGCAGUGCGAUAUAAAAAAAACACAUCCAAGUACCAUUCACCUACUGUCCUGCCAUAGUGCUCCAUACCAUUU